AGCGUACACGGUGGAUGCCCUGGCAGUCAGAGGCGAUGAAGGACGUGCUAAUCUGCGAUAAGCGUCGGUAAGGUGAUAUGAACCGUUAUAACCGGCGAUUUCCGAAUGGGGAAACCCAGUGUGUUUCGACACACUAUCAUUAACUGAAUCCAUAGGUUAAUGAGGCGAACCGGGGGAACUGAAACAUCUAAGUACCCCGAGGAAAAGAAAUCAACCGAGAUUCCCCCAGUAGCGGCGAGCGAACGGGGAGGAGCCCAGAGCCUGAAUCAGUGUGUGUGUUAGUGGAAGCGUCUGGAAAGGCGCGCGAUACAGGGUGACAGCCCCGUACACAAAAAUGCACAUGCUGUGAGCUCGAUGAGUAGGGCGGGACACGUGGUAUCCUGUCUGAAUAUGGGGGGACCAUCCUCCAAGGCUAAAUACUCCUGACUGACCGAUAGUGAACCAGUACCGUGAGGGAAAGGCGAAAAGAACCCCGGCGAGGGGAGUGAAAAAGAACCUGAAACCGUGUACGUACAAGCAGUGGGAGCACGCUUAGGCGUGUGACUGCGUACCUUUUGUAUAAUGGGUCAGCGACUUAUAUUCUGUAGCAAGGUUAACCGAAUAGGGGAGCCGAAGGGAAACCGAGUCUUAACUGGGCGUUAAGUUGCAGGGUAUAGACCCGAAACCCGGUGAUCUAGCCAUGGGCAGGUUGAAGGUUGGGUAACACUAACUGGAGGACCGAACCGACUAAUGUUGAAAAAUUAGCGGAUGACUUGUGGCUGGGGGUGAAAGGCCAAUCAAACCGGGAGAUAGCUGGUUCUCCCCGAAAGCUAUUUAGGUAGCGCCUCGUGAAUUCAUCUCCGGGGGUAGAGCACUGUUUCGGCAAGGGGGUCAUCCCGACUUACCAACCCGAUGCAAACUGCGAAUACCGGAGAAUGUUAUCACGGGAGACACACGGCGGGUGCUAACGUCCGUCGUGAAGAGGGAAACAACCCAGACCGCCAGCUAAGGUCCCAAAGUCAUGGUUAAGUGGGAAACGAUGUGGGAAGGCCCAGACAGCCAGGAUGUUGGCUUAGAAGCAGCCAUCAUUUAAAGAAAGCGUAAUAGCUCACUGGUCGAGUCGGCCUGCGCGGAAGAUGUAACGGGGCUAAACCAUGCACCGAAGCUGCGGCAGCGACGCUUAUGCGUUGUUGGGUAGGGGAGCGUUCUGUAAGCCUGUGAAGGUGUGCUGUGAGGCAUGCUGGAGGUAUCAGAAGUGCGAAUGCUGACAUAAGUAACGAUAAAGCGGGUGAAAAGCCCGCUCGCCGGAAGACCAAGGGUUCCUGUCCAACGUUAAUCGGGGCAGGGUGAGUCGACCCCUAAGGCGAGGCCGAAAGGCGUAGUCGAUGGGAAACAGGUUAAUAUUCCUGUACUUGGUGUUACUGCGAAGGGGGGACGGAGAAGGCUAUGUUGGCCGGGCGACGGUUGUCCCGGUUUAAGCGUGUAGGCUGGUUUUCCAGGCAAAUCCGGAAAAUCAAGGCUGAGGCGUGAUGACGAGGCACUACGGUGCUGAAGCAACAAAUGCCCUGCUUCCAGGAAAAGCCUCUAAGCAUCAGGUAACAUCAAAUCGUACCCCAAACCGACACAGGUGGUCAGGUAGAGAAUACCAAGGCGCUUGAGAGAACUCGGGUGAAGGAACUAGGCAAAAUGGUGCCGUAACUUCGGGAGAAGGCACGCUGAUAUGUAGGUGAAGCGACUUGCUCGUGGAGCUGAAAUCAGUCGAAGAUACCAGCUGGCUGCAACUGUUUAUUAAAAACACAGCACUGUGCAAACACGAAAGUGGACGUAUACGGUGUGACGCCUGCCCGGUGCCGGAAGGUUAAUUGAUGGGGUCAGCGCAAGCGAAGCUCUUGAUCGAAGCCCCGGUAAACGGCGGCCGUAACUAUAACGGUCCUAAGGUAGCGAAAUUCCUUGUCGGGUAAGUUCCGACCUGCACGAAUGGCGUAAUGAUGGCCAGGCUGUCUCCACCCGAGACUCAGUGAAAUUGAACUCGCUGUGAAGAUGCAGUGUACCCGCGGCAAGACGGAAAGACCCCGUGAACCUUUACUAUAGCUUGACACUGAACAUUGAGCCUUGAUGUGUAGGAUAGGUGGGAGGCUUUGAAGUGUGGACGCCAGUCUGCAUGGAGCCGACCUUGAAAUACCACCCUUUAAUGUUUGAUGUUCUAACGUGGACCCGUAAUCCGGGUUGCGGACAGUGUCUGGUGGGUAGUUUGACUGGGGCGGUCUCCUCCUAAAGAGUAACGGAGGAGCACGAAGGUUGGCUAAUCCUGGUCGGACAUCAGGAGGUUAGUGCAAUGGCAUAAGCCAGCUUGACUGCGAGCGUGACGGCGCGAGCAGGUGCGAAAGCAGGUCAUAGUGAUCCGGUGGUUCUGAAUGGAAGGGCCAUCGCUCAACGGAUAAAAGGUACUCCGGGGAUAACAGGCUGAUACCGCCCAAGAGUUCAUAUCGACGGCGGUGUUUGGCACCUCGAUGUCGGCUCAUCACAUCCUGGGGCUGAAGUAGGUCCCAAGGGUAUGGCUGUUCGCCAUUUAAAGUGGUACGCGAGCUGGGUUUAGAACGUCGUGAGACAGUUCGGUCCCUAUCUGCCGUGGGCGCUGGAGAACUGAGGGGGGCUGCUCCUAGUACGAGAGGACCGGAGUGGACGCAUCACUGGUGUUCGGGUUGUCAUGCCAAUGGCACUGCCCGGUAGCUAAAUGCGGAAGAGAUAAGUGCUGAAAGCAUCUAAGCACGAAACUUGCCCCGAGAUGAGUUCUCCCUGACUCCUUGA
rnacentral:rRNA from 1 species